UUCCAGACUCCUACGGGAGGCAGCAGUGGGGGAUAUUGCACAAUGGGGGAAACCCUGAUGCAGCGACGCCGCGUGUAGGAAGACGGUCCUCUGGAUUGUAAACUACUGUCCCCAGGGACGAAGAUGACGGUACCUGGGGAGGAAGCUCCGUCUAACUAAGUGCCAGCAGCCGCGGGAAUACGUAGGGAGCGAGCGUUGUCCGUAAUUCGUGGGGGUAAGGGUCCGGCGGGCGGCACGGCAAGCCUGAUUGGAAGGCCGGGGGCCAACCGCGGGACUGCAUUGGGAACUACCGGGCUGGAGUGCCGGAGAGGUAGGCGGAAUUCCUGGUGUAGCGGUGAAAUGCGUAGAUAUUAGGAGGAACACCAGUGGCGAAGGCGGCCUACUGGACGGUGACUGACGCUGAGGCUCGAAAGCGUGGGGAGCAAACAGGAUUAGAUACCCGAGUAA
rnacentral:rRNA from 1 species